CGAAGGUUAAUUGAUGGGGUUAGCAUUAGCGAAGCUCUUGAUCGAAGCCCGAGUAAACGGCGGCCGUAACUAUAACGGUCCUAAGGUAGCGAAAUUCCUUGUCGGUUAAAUACCGACCUGCAUGAAUGGCGUAACGAGAUGGGAGCUGUCUCAAAGAGGGAUCCAGUGAAAUUGUAGUGGAGGUGAAAAUUCCUCCUACCCGCGGCAAGACGGCGAGACCCCGUGGACCUUUACUACAGCUUGACACUGCUACUUGGAUAAGAAUGUGCAGGAUAGGUGGGAGGCUUUGAGUAUAUGACGCCAGUUGUAUAUGAGCCAUUGUUGAGAUACCACUCUUUCUUAUUUGGGUAGCUAACCAGCUUGAGUUAUCCUCAAGUGGGACAAUGUCUGGUGGGUAGUUUGACUGGGGCGGUCGCCUCCCAA
rnacentral:rRNA from 1 species